UACGGAGGGGGCUAGCGUUGUUCGGAAUUACUGGGCGUAAAGCGCGCGUAGGCGGACCUGCAAGUCGGGGGUGAAAGCCCGAGGCUCAACCUCGGAACUGCCUUCGAUACUGCGGGUCUCGAGUCCGGUAGGGGAGUGUGGAAUUCCCGGUGUAGCGGUGAAAUGCGCAGAUAUCGGGAGGAACACCAGUAGCGAAGGCGGCACUCUGGGCCGGUACUGACGCUGAGGAGCGAAAGCGUGGGGAGCGAACAGG
rnacentral:rRNA from 1 species